GUAACGGUCCCGGACAGCGGCGGAGUGCGGAGGCACCGCUAGGCGGAGGAGGGAGGCGGCGGCGAGGGAGGCUCCAGUGCUCGCCCGGAACCUUGUUGCCAGGGGAGACCGGGCGCUUUACGGCAGCGCGUUUGAACGGCGGCGGGCGAAAAAGUUGCGCCCGCAGGUACCGGGGGCGGCGGCACCGCCGGGGCGGGCCCGGCACACCGACCCCCGGCCGGGCAGCGGGGCGGGGGCGCCCCGGCGGGUGUCGGAGGGCGCCAGCCCGCGGAGGGGGGUCCCCGCGGGGGAGCAUCGCCCGCCCUGGAAGCGCCCACAGCUCCAACGGAGAGACAAACAGCUGGAUGAUGGUGACGCUGUUCCCGCUGAACCUGCCGUUCCUGCGCUUUCCUGAGUCAUACUUCCCGCUUUCGCGAAGAGGAGAAGAGGUAUAAAUAUAUACCACUAAAAAAAAAAAAAAAUAAUAAAGGCAAAGGGAAAGGAGCAAUUUUUUCACGAAUAAUUAAUGGAAGACGUCCUUUGGGCUUAAUAAACUUAUUUAAUGUAUUAAAAAUUAAAGCAUUACUACCAAAUGCUUGUUUUAUUUAUUUCCUCUUGCUUUUUGCUUCGGGCAAUAAAACAAUUUAGUAAGUUUGUUUCUAGACUUCCUUAUUUCUCUUUUUUUUUUUUCCUCCUUAUCCUAAGAUGAUUCUGUAGAAAUUGUAAUUCUGUGCUUCUGAGGAAUUCUUUUAUCUAAACAGAUGAAAUUUCAGUGAAAGUGUUUCUGUUAAUUGGGAUACUUUCAAUAAGAGAUUGAAACACUGCAGAACUUGAAGUCUUUAGCUAUUCUACAUCAUUUCCACAUGCUGUAUGUUCACAUUCUGUAACAUACCACCUCAUUUCAUGGAAGUGGCAUAGCAUGUCUCUAGAAGAGGAACUAUUGAACACUGCCAGUUUGUGGGCAUACCUUGCAUCCCCCUAAAAGCCGGUACAAUCAGAAGUGCUUAGAAAGGAAGUAUUGGGCUAAAAUGGAGGCAGAAUUAGGUAAAGAUCCAAAGGGAUAUUUUCCAAAUUAAUUGUACCCACAAAAGUGUGCAAGAGUACUCUUGGUUGCUCACCUGAAAACAGUUUUGCAGGUAAAAAUCAUUUGUCUGGUAUCUCUAAAAAAAUUGGUAAAUUUAGGUGUGUUGUUUUUACAUAUGUAUCUUUACUCAUAUUGGUUGGCUGCUGGCCUCAACAUUUUAAUAAGGAUCUACCUAAGAGUCAUUAAAGAAGGUUAACAAAUCAAACAAUACCAGGUGCUCAAUGGACUAAUAGAAGCCAUUUAACAGCAUUAGGAACCCCAAAUACAAGGAUAGCUAAGAACUGCGACAUGAAACCAACUACAAGAUAAAAGUGAAACUUGUCAGCAAAAUUUUGAGUCAGUGGAUUGCGAGGUUUAAGGCAGAAUUUUGUUUACUUCAACCUCCUUGCUUGUCAAGUUUUUGUGCAGAAGAUACCUGUCACUGUGAAACUGUUAUCAUUCAGUGGUUGAAUUUAAGCAAAAUAUCAUGUACAGGUUUUCAUGCUAAGUUUUUGAUUCCCUAAAAUUAGUCAUGAUUUUAGAAGGUAGUUGCAAGUAAAAAAUAAUCAACAAAUAUGUUUGCAGAUUUGUAACAAUAUUCCUCUGCAUGCCCACACAAAAUUCCAGGCCCUCUUUAAGCAACAUUGAAGAGCUUAUUUGCUUUGAGUUUUGUCACUUUUCACCUCUGGAUAAGAAUUCUUGUCUCUUCAUUUUGAGCAAUUUCCUAACAGAAUGAGGACAAAAACAGUCUCCCGGUGUUUGUUGUGCUGUUUUUCCAAUAGCCAUAAUGUCUGUUUGAGCUCUAGUCUCUUGAAAAUUCAAGGCAGGUGGAGAAACUGGUGACAACUCCUGCUGGCCGUUAGUUUCUAAAGAGCAGAACUGAAACUGGCAGGAGCACUGGGAGCUCUACACUGGUAUGGUUUGAUAGAUGAGAAGAGAAAACCAGAGUAAUCUUUGUGUAUGUUAUCUUUCAUACCAAGGAGGUCUAGAAACCAAAAAAAACAGAGGAUAGUAUUUUGCAUCAAGUUAUUGAUGACCCUAAACCUAUUUAUUGUGAAAGGUGUCUCAUUCACAACUUGUAAAUACAGGUACAGAUGGGUUGGUUUUUUGGGUUUUAGUUUUUAAACUUUGAUAUGUGUAAUCCAAGCAACUGGGUACUUCACAUCUUAGCAUACAAAGUUCUCAUGAUUUGCUGUGCUAAAUUAAGGAUGCAGCCACUGACAAACAAUUUUGACCUAAUACUUUCUUCUAAUCCUGGAUGCUAACACACUAGUUAAAAUUCCUACUAUUUUUGUCAUGUUCUACAGUGUAUGAGCACAUUGUAUAUGUAGUUUAAAGUCUUUUGUGCUGAAGAAAUGGAAAAUCCUAUUUUUCUUUAUGGUACGCAGCUUUCAAUCUGACUUUUCAGUCAAGGAUGCAGACAUUAAUUAAUGUAUUCUUUGGAAAAUCUCAGCAAAGCAGUAUAUUUCUUCAUCCUCCUAAAUGUGGCAAUCUUGAGAAGAUGUCUCUUUAAAGGAGGAGUUCUGAGGCAGUGGUCAUCCAGUAAUAAUUAGAUGGUUUCUAGUAAUUUGUAUGAGAAUUUAGGCAACAUAAAUAUUGUAGUUGAAACCUGAGACUGCAUAGCUACUGUACUUCACCCUUUUUGAAAUUUAUUUCCAUUGUCUGAAGACAGGAAUUAAAAUACUUCCAUAGUUACACUGUUGUAAGGAUGUUCUAAAACUAUCCGAUAAUUCUUAUAGACAGCUCUUCCUGUUUUAAAAAUGCUCAUGUAUGUUGUGUUAUGAUUUAUGAUCUCUUAAGUAUGUAUCAUUAAAUAAAAGCAAUCAGUCCCCUGUUUGUAUGCCUACUCCUCAUUCAUGUUCAUGAAAUGCAGUUUCACAUCCUAUCUUGAGUAUUGUAGAUUUAAUGGUGUUCAUUUAGUUUAAUGAAUUUAGAAUUACAGUAGAAAAUGACUCAGUAUAUUGUUUCUGGUUUCAUUUCUGGUUUGUGGAGAUUCUUUUUUUCUUACUUUUUUUUUCCCUGUGAUUUCCAUUAGUGAAACUUUAUUUUCAAUUCUAUGUAUUUCUGGGGA